GAAGAUGUUGAUAUGAUUGACGCACCGCUUAAUCAGGAGGUGCUGAUCGUUGAUGAGAUCGACCCCCGCAUAAUGGUACAUAAGCCUCAAGCAUCCCCUGUAGAGAAACUUGAGAGCUUCUCAGCCGACCCCCAAGAUCCGUCCAAGGUGUUGAAAGUAGGCAGAGGCUUAUCCAACAUUUUGAGAGAAAAGAUCAAGGACUUCCUAGGCAAGAACCUUGACGUCUUUGCUUGGAGGCAUGAGGACAUGGUGGGCAUAGACCCCAAGAUCAGCUGCCACCACUAGAAAAUUGAUCCUAAUGUUACCCCGUAUAGACAAAAAAGGAGAGCCCUCAACCCUGAGAGGUAUGAGGCCCUAAAGGAAGAGGUUCAGAAGCUCAUCCAAAAUGGCUUCAUCAGGGAGGCCACCUAUCCGAGGUGGGUCUCCAACCCGGUCUUGGUUAAGAAACACAAUGGCAAAUGGAGGGUAUGCAUCGACUUUACCAACCUCAAUAGAGCUUGCCCGAAAGACAGCUUUCCGCUUCCAAGGAUUGACCAAUUGGUGGACUCCACGGCUGGGCACGAGUUGUUGAGCUUCAUGGAUGCAUACUCCGGCUACAACCAAAUCCCCAUGCACCCGGCCGAUGAAGAGCACACCUCUUUCAUCAUGGACCGAGGCCUCUAUUGCUAUAGAAUGAUGCCCUUCGGGUUGAAAAACGGCCGAGCAACCUACCAAAGACUCGUGAACAAAAUGUUUACCGACCUCAUUGGCAAGACAAUGAAAGUCUACGUGGAUGACAUGCUGGUGAAGAGCUUAGAAGCAGAGAACCACAUAGCGCACCUCAACAAUACCUUCCAAAUCCUGAGAAGGUACAGGAUGAGGCUCAACCGGUUGAAAUGUGCUUUUGCGAUGGCUUCUGGCAAGUUCUUGGGGUACAUGGUCAACCAGCGGAAAAUUGAAGCAAACCCCGAGAAGAUUGAGGCUCUAUGCCAGAUGAGGUCCCCUCAAAAGCAAAAGGAGGUGCAAAGCUUAACUGGACGAGUGGCAGCACUUAGUCGCUUCGUCUCCAAAGCAACUGACAAGUGUCUCCCAUUUUUCCAAGUG
rnacentral:lncRNA from 1 species